GCGCAAGUGGUUCAGUGGUUAGAAUUUAUGCUUCCCAAGCAUGAGGCCCGGGUUCGAUUCCCGGCUUGCGCA
ensembl:tRNA SUF5 Glycine tRNA (tRNA-Gly), predicted by tRNAscan-SE analysis; can mutate to suppress +1 frameshift mutations in glycine codons